CCUACGGGAGGCAGCAGUGAGGAAUAUUGGUCAAUGGGCGAGAGUCUGAACCAGCCAAGUCGCGUGAAGGAUGACUGCCCUAUGGGUUGUAAACUUCUUUUAUAUGGGAGUAAAAUGUUCCACGUGUGGGGUUUUGUGUGUACCCGAUGAAUAAGCAUCGGCUAACUCCGUGCCAGCAGCCGCGGUAAUACGGAGGAUCCGAGCGUUAUCCGGAUUUAUUGGGUUUAAAGGGGGCGUAGGUGGAUGGUUAAGUUAGGGGUGAAAGUUGGCGGCUUAACCGUAAUAUUGCAGUUGAAACUGGUAGUCUUGAGUACACGAGAGGUGUGCGGAAUGCGUGGUGUAGCGGUGAAAUGCAUAGAUAUCACGAAGAACUCCGAUUGCGAAGGCAGCACACUGGACUGCAACUGACACUGAGGCACGAAAGUGUGGGUAUCAAACAGGAUUAGAUACCCGUGUAGUC
rnacentral:rRNA from 1 species